rnacentral:rRNA from 1 species
GUCUACGGCCAUACCACCUGAACGCGCCCGAUCUCGUCUGAUCUCGGAAGCUAAGCAGGGUCGGGCCUGGGUUAGUACUUGGAUGGGAGACCGCCUGGGAAUACCGGGUGCUGUAGGCU